AAGACUAUAGACCUGCGGAGUACCUGCGGAAGGAUCAUUAGUAAAAAUCAUAUGUGUUUUUUUUUAUUUUAUAUAAAAAAACAUGUAUAAUAUUAUCUAUUACUUGCACACAUUUUUUAUGUUGUGUAAAUGUGCACACACAAAAUUUUUUAUAUUUUUUUUCUUUCACUCACACUUUCUCUCGGGGGAGUUGGGUUGAGGGGGAAAAAAAAGGUUGGAAUGUGAAUAACCCUCAGUUAU
rnacentral:misc_RNA from 1 species